GUACUACGCUGGCGGCGUGCCUAACACAAAGUCGAACGAGGCCCUUUGUAUUCGUACGAAGGUGUCCUAGUGGCGAACGGGUGAGUAACACGUUGGUGACCUGCCCCAAAGUGGGGGACAACUCCGGGAAACUGGAGCUAAUACCCCAUGUGUUCCAAGGAGUUAGAGGUCCUUGGAGGAAAGGAGUAAUCCGCUUUGGGAGGGGCCUGCGGCCCAUCAGCUAGCGUUAGGGUAAUGGCCUACCAAGGCUACGACGGGUAGGGGACCUGAGAGGGUGGCCCCCCACACUGGCACUGAAACACGGGCCAGACACCUACGGGUGGCAGCAGUGAGGAAUAUUGCCCAAUGGACGAAAGUCUGAGGCAGCAACGCCGCGUGCGCGAUGAAGGCCUUAGGGUUGUAAAGCGCUUUUCUGGGGGAAGAGGAAGGACGGUACCCCAGGAAUAAGUCUCGGCUAGCUACGUGCCAGCAGCCGCGGUAAAAGAGGCGAGCGUUAUCCGGAUUUACUGGGCGUAAAGCGCGUGCAGGCGGUUUGGACAGUCGGACGUGAAAGCUCCUGGCUCAACUAGGAGAGGCCGUUCGAUACUGCCAGACUUGAGGGCAGCAGAGGGAGGUGGAAUUCCGGGUGUAGCGGUGAAAUGCGUAGAUAUCCACCGGAACACCAGUGGCGAAGGCGGCCUCCUGGACUGUCCCUGACGCUAAUUCUCGAAAGCUAGGGUAGCAAACGGGAUUAGAAACCCCGGUAGUCCUAGCCGUAAACGAUGCAGACUUGGUGUUGGUGGUGUAAAAGCCAUCAGUGCCGUAGCUAACGCGAUAAGUCUGCCGCCUGGGGACUACGACCGCAAGCUGAAUUUGCG
rnacentral:rRNA from 1 species